AUGAUUGCAGAUAACAAUUACUCAGCCAAAUUUAAGGGUAUCCCUAAAAUUGAAACAUGCAAGUUUCUUCAACAUAUUGUAUUUUCGGUCUCCUCUAAAAUUGAAGAGCCCAUAAAAUGAGAUCAUCAACAGCCAGUUGCAGAACCGGAAAACCAUCAUGAGAUGAUGGAAACUAAAAUGGAGUAACGCUAAAUCACAGAACCUAACCUCAGGGUUUGUUGGUCUACUCGAAAAAGAAACACGCAUCUUGAAGUUCGUUCCCUGGAAUCCUCGUUGGAACCUCACCGGAGGGCUUACCGGAAAGAUGCCGGAACUUGAUCGGAACCCUAGCCGUUGAACCGUCGUAAUUGUCAGAGCCAUGGCAGACUCCGAGAUAACAUCCUCGUCGCCCUCUACCCCUGUAUCGUCACAAACGCUG
rnacentral:lncRNA from 1 species